AAAGAGUUGGCACAGUGGUUUGAGUGUUGGACUAUGACUCUGGAAACCAGGGUUCAAUUCCCUGCUUGGUGA